rnacentral:rRNA from 1 species
GACGAACGCUGGCGGCGUGCUUAACACAUGCAAGUCGAACGCUGAAGCUCAGCUUUUGUUGGGUGGAUGAGUGGCGAACGGGUGAGUAACACGUGAGUAACCUGCCCCCUUCUUUGGGAUAACGCCUGGAAACGGGUGCUAAUACUGGAUAUUCACUGGUCUUCGCAUGGGGGUUGGUGGAAAGGGUUUUUCUGGUGGGGGAUGGGCUCGCGGCCUAUCAGCUUGUUGGUGGGGUGAUGGCCUACCAAGGCUUUGACGGGUAGCCGGCCUGAGAGGGUGACCGGUCACAUUGGGACUGAGAUACGGCCCAGACUCCUACGGGAGGCAGCAGUGGGGAAUAUUGCACAAUGGGCGCAAGCCUGAUGCAGCGACGCCGCGUGAGGGAUGGAGGCCUUCGGGUUGUGAACCUCUUUCGCUCAUGGUCAAGCCGCAACAAUGGUUGUGGUGAGGGUAGUGGGUAAAGAAGCGCCGGCUAACUACGUG